UACGAAGGAUUCGAGCGUUAUCCGGAUUUAUUUGGGUUUUAAAGGGUGCGUAGGCGGACUGAUAAGUCAGUGGUGAAAUCCUGUUUGCUCAACAACAGAACUGCCAUUGAUACUUGCCAGUCUUGAGUACAGUUGAGGUAGGCGGAAUGUGUCAUGUAGUGGUGAAAUACUUAGAUAUGACACAGAACACCGAUUUGCGAAGGCAGCUUUGCUAAACUGUAACUGACGCUGAGGCACGAAAGCAUGGGGGAGCAAACAGG
rnacentral:rRNA from 1 species